CAAUUGAACGAAAUGUGCCACUU
rnacentral:piRNA from 1 species